GUGAACAAUUAUUGAAAUAUCAGUUGCUCGAAGGGUUCAGGGGAUCUCGUAGUCGGGUAGUCUCGACUAGAGCUUUCAUACUUGUUGAAACUCCUAUUGGCUAAUCUGGUGUCUCAUAACUACAUCUUCCCCUCGUGACUGCUUUCGUCUUUUCUAAUAUCAUUAAGUAGUAGUAGCGUCUUAUUCAACGGUUCACGCUAUUAUGGGUCUUAUCGUAUCGUAUUACAGAGGAUGUAAUUGCUGGCGAUAUCAAUUUCUGGCUUAUUAAAGAAGAUGAUUAUAAAACUAAAAUUAAAUUAUUUUAUUAUAAGACGGCACCCGUUAGGUGUAAUAUUUGUACGCGUUUAAUAUCCUAAAAUAAAAUAAUACCAUCUGUACUGUUAAUGCCAGAUCCCAUUAACAGGAAUUGCUCCUUCUGCACCAUACUAUGCCCUGUAGUACUGGAGGUGGCGAUUGACCAUAGUUGAACUACUUUAACACUUACAUGGGUACUUACUUGACUGACCCUAUGGAAGCGAACGCCGAACCACCAAGCAACAAAGUAUAUACAUGAAACGGCAGAAAAAAACGGGGGAAAAACGGUACUAUCAUCACAUAUAUUUUUGGUGUUUUGCGAAUGGCGCAUAGCUGAAGGAAAAAAAUAAUCUUCGCUUUCUGUUGCUGUUUCUUUCCUAAUUUACAAAAACAAUUGUUAUGGUAGUACCGUUUCUUUUCGUUUAUGCUUUCUGAUCUUCCUCGAUGUUCGAAGGUUGCUGCGUUCGUCGGUUGCGCAAAUACAAUCACAAGCAUUGCAAGUGAAGCUCUGAAGCAGCAACAAUCGUAAAUAUUGCCACACAAUUUAAGCAAAUUAAAAUUAAUUGAUGUGUAGUGAAAGGCAUUUAAGAAGGCUGAAGCAGGAGCAGAAAGCAAAAUACGUAAACAAAUUAUUGCCGCGACAUUAGAAAACACGCCUGGAAAGGGAGUUAAAGUUGAGGAAGUAUUAAAUGUGAUAAACAUUGACAGUGGCAUAAAUAAUAAACUCGAAGAAAAAGAAAUUAAUAAUUUAAAUAAACAGCUAAAAUUGUGGUUCCUAAAGCAUAGGCCGUGGCGUGACUGCGCGAUUGAUUUAGUUAAAAUAUUGAAAAGCCAUAAUUUAGAUGUCGAGAAAGUGGCCCAGGAAAAAUUUGAUAUUCUUGUGAAAGAAAUUCAUUCUUUAAGAGGUAUAAAAAUGAUUUAAUGAGCUUUUAGUUAAAUAAACAUACUUAUAUAUAUUCAAUCUAAAUAUAUUAAAAUUUAGCUGACCAAAAAGUGACACAGUAAAAAAUCGAGGUCCUUGUAAUUUUAAAAUCUUAAAAAUAUUAUGGCUGAUCCUGUAGUAUUAGCAUACAAUGUUGAUGGCGUUCAAGGGAAAGCUGCCUUGAAAAAUAGAGCGCUUUUUAUGAAGUAUUAAUUGAUGCAAUAAAUUUGGUUAAUGGCAGUGGAUCAUCUGAAGAACUGCGAAAGGCCAUGCAGCUGCAGAAGAAGCGUUUUUUUUUUUUUU